rnacentral:rRNA from 1 species
AGACGUCUACAUUAGACUACCCCCGUAGUCCCAGCCGUAAACUAUGCGCGUUAGGUGUAUCGGUGGCCACGAGUUACCGAGGUGCCGAAGGGAAACCGUGAAACGUGCCGCCUGGGAAGUACGGUCGCAAGGCUGAAACUUAAAGGAAUUGGCGGGGAGCACCACAACGGGUGGAGCCUGCGGUUUAAUUGGACUCAACGCCGGGAAGCUCACCGGAUAAGACAGCGGAAUGAUUGCCGGGCUGAAGACUCUGCAUGACUAGCUG